rnacentral:rRNA from 1 species
GAUGAACGCUAGCGGGAGGCCUAACACAUGCAAGCCGAGCGGUAUUGUUUCUUCGGAAAUGAGAGAGCGGCGUACGGGUGCGUAACACGUGUGCAACCUGCCUUUAUCUGGGGGAUAGCCUUUCGAAAGGAAGAUUAAUACUCCAUAAUAUAUUGAACGGCAUCGUUUAAUAUUGAAAGCUCCGGCGGAUAGAGAUGGGCACGCGCAAGAUUAGCUAGUUGGUGAGGUAACGGCUCACCAAGGCGAUGAUCUUUAGGGGGCCUGAGAGGGUGAUCCCCCACAAUGGUAGGAGGACAGGCACCAGUCGCAUAGGGGCGGCGGCAGUAGGGAAUAUGGGGGAAGGGGUGGGGACUUAAACACACCUCGCGGGGUGAGGAAGCACUGCCGUGGGGGUUGUAAAGUUGUUUUUAAGAAGGAAAACCCCCCCCUGGAGGGGGGAGCAGAAGGUAAUAAACGAAAGAGCCCCGGCAAACCCGGUG